AUGGGCUUCUAUUUGCACAGACACUACAUCCACUCCAUGUUUCUAGUCUGGGUUGUUUGUUGCACUUUUUUUGCAAAACUACUCCCUUGUGUCUAUUUGCACACAUCCAGGCAGAAGUUGGUUUUGCUACUGGUCUACUUGCAUAUAGUGGUGUUUAAUUACACAGAUAUCAGAUUAUUGUUGCUACUCCCUCCAAUUAUGGAGAAGAUCGGUGGUAGAUCCAAAGGCAAAGGGGAAGGGAAAGUGAAGAAGGGAGGAUCUGGAGCCAGAAGGGAACUUACCGUGAUUGAUGAUGCCUGCUCUGUAGGUUUUUGGAUCUAG
rnacentral:rRNA from 1 species